ensembl:lncRNA
UGACUUUAGUUUAGUAUCCAGUUAUAACACAUGACUUUAGUUUAGUAUCCAGUUAUAACACAUGACUUUAGUUUAGUAUCCAGUUAUAACACAUGAAUUGAGUUUAGUAUCCAGUUAUAACACAUGACUUUAGUUUAGUAUCCAGUUAUAACACAUGACUUUAGUUUAGUAUCCAGUUAUAACACAUGACUUUAGUUUAGUAUCCAGUUAUAACACAUGACUUGAGUUUAGUAUCCAGUUAUAACACAUGACUUGAGUUUAGUAUCCAGUUAUAACACAUGACUUUAGUUUAGUAUCCAGUUAUUACACAUGACUUUAGUUUAGUAUCCAGUUAUAACACAUGACUUUAGUUUAGUAUCCAGUUAUUACACAUGAAUUGAGUUUAGCAACAAAAGCACAUGUAUAGAACAUGUAUGGACAUGUGUUUCAGGGACUUCAGGAGAACAACACAACAGACAACAGACAACGGUUCUGCAGGUAGUGGAGAACAACACAACAGACAACACAGACAACGGUUCUGUAGGUAGUGGAGAACAACACAACAGACAACACAGACGGUUCUGCAGGUAGUGGAGAACAACACAACAGACAACACAGACAACGGUUCUGUAGGUAGUGGAGAACAACACAACAGACAACACAGACGGUUCUGCAGGUAGUGGAGAACAACACAACAGACAACACAGACAACGGUUCUGCAGGUAGUGGAGAACAACACAACAGACAACACAGACAACGGUUCUGCAGGUAGUGGAGAACAACACAACAGACAACACAGACAACGGUUCUGCAGGUAGUGGAGAACAACACAACAGACAACAGACAACGGUUCUGCAGGUAGUGGAGAACAACACAACAGACAACACAGACAACGGUUCUGUAGGUAGUGGAGAACAACACAACAGACAACACAGACAACGGUUCUGCAGGUACGACAUAUGAGUAGACAGUUUAAUAGAUCCUGUAUAUGCAAGCAUCAUAGCAUACCAGUGAUGAUACGGAAGGCAGUGGCAGGAAGAUCAGGUUAGAAACCUGCCCAGAUAAAUGGACUGAUUUGGUGUUCCUGUCUCCACUUGUCUCUUUAGUCUCUGCUAUUCCGAAAUGUCUGCAUGCUUUUCCAGCACUUUUUCAUGUCAACAUAGUUUAACACCAGAUUGCUGACUAACACCAAAAUGGUUAGUAUGGACAUAUUAGUCCUUGUGUGUAUCCUGUGGUCUGGGAAUUGGAGGGGUUAACACUUCCUGCCAAGCCACAUAUUUAAACUCUAUUCUUCAGUAGGUGCUACUCGAGAGCGGCGAGACUCAGAGCAAACAACUAGUAUUGUAAAGGGAUAAUCCCUAUGGAACACCUGCCAACAUCAUCUGUGUGCUUACAGUUGCUCAUAUUCCCUCUUUUUCUAAACGUGUUGGGAGAAUGACUCUUCAGUCACCGAUAUGUCACCGAUAUGACAUCACACUCUCCCUGGCGGCAGGGUAGCCUAGUGGUUAGAGCGUUGGACUAGUAACCGGAAGGUGGGUUCUGAUAUGCUAAAGAGAAGACCUGGCAACAUUCUCUAGUGGUUCUGAUAUGCUAAAGAGAACACCUGGCAACAUUCUCUAGUGGUUCUGAUAUGCUAAAGAGAACACCUGGCAACAUUCUCUAGUGGUUCUGAUAUGCUAAAGAGAACACC